AAGCCCUUUCCGAACUCCGGAGGAGAGGGGGUUGCGGGCGACACCUCCCACACACGCGGGGCUGGGCUAGCCCCGCGAGAUCCAGGGAAUCCCCGGGCGUGCCUGCAUCCCGACCCGCCAAUCGGCGGGUCGGGGAGGCGUGGCCUACCCUACUUAAGGCCAGGCACGUCCGGGGACCGCCCUCUUUCCUUUCGCCAGCUGAGCGGGUUUU